rnacentral:rRNA from 1 species
UGCAGUCGAGCGGAACGAGUUAUCUGAACCUUCGGGGAACGAUAACGGCGUCGAGCGGCGGACGGGUGAGUAAUGCCUAGGAAAUUGCCCUGAUGUGGGGGAUAACCAUUGGAAACGAUGGCUAAUACCGCAUGAUGCCUACGGGCCAAAGAGGGGGACCUUCGGGCCUCUCGCGUCAGGAUAUGCCUAGGUGGGAUUAGCUAGUUGGUGAGGUAAGGGCUCACCAAGGCGACGAUCCCUAGCUGGUCUGAGAGGAUGAUCAGCCACACUGGAACUGAGACACGGUCCAGACUCCUACGGGAGGCAGCAGUGGGGAAUAUUGCACAAUGGGCGCAAGCCUGAUGCAGCCAUGCCGCGUGUGUGAAAAGGCCUUCGGGUUGUAAAGCACUUUCAGUCGUGAG